rnacentral:rRNA from 1 species
AACCCGACUCCAUGAAGCUGGAUUCGCUAGUAAUCGCGCAUCAGCCACGGCGCGGUGAAUACGUUCCCGGGCCUUGUACACACCGCCCGUCAAGCCAUGGAAGCCGGGAGUGCCUGAAGUGCGUGACCGCAAGGAGCGCCCUAAGGCAAUACCGGUGACUGGGGCUAAGUCGUAACAAGGUAUC